AAGAUCUGGAGCUGCCGAAGAGGCAAGAGACUUUUUCUUCCCUCUUUGUUUCCUGCUGCGCGAGGAGAGGGGAUUAAGAGCGCUGCUUAAAGGAGCUCCAGAGACGGGCGCGAGUCGUGGCUAAAAGCGCGGACCCCAGAGACGGGCAUGAGACGCUAAGGCUGCUGCUGCCGCCACCAAAAAGCCUGUGUGCGAGCACAGGUCACUAUCCACACCCCGCCUCCGGGGAGCCUGUGCAGCCCGCCACAGCCAGGUUCCCGGGAUCCAGGGACAACUUCCCCGGGAGAACGCAUGGUGAGCCUCAGGCUGGUGCAAAGUCACGCCGGCCUCUGGCGCCGCAGGCUCGCCCCGCACUCCGUGCCCCUCCCUCCCCCCGGCCUGAGUGAGCCAGAGCCCCCGAAUCAGCGGCUUCUUUAACUCCGUCUUGUCUGAGUGAAAAACAGACGCCCUCCAGCGACCUACACGCAGAGGCGGGGCCCAAUCCAAACCUGAGCCCCUGGGAGCUGUGAGAACAAAGAAGAGAAAGGGAAAUCUCUCCCAGCAGCCUCAGAAGCAGCGGAUUAAAGCUCCACAAUCAACUUGAUGUACCCUGCAUCUGUGGAAUACAUGAAUAGACAACGAAUCAUCCCAAAUUGAGGAGCUGGUACCUGAGGAGUUGUAUACCUCCGGGAAGAUAUGUGCUCCAGACCCGUAAAUAUGCAGUUCACAGAGCCCACCACCAGAGGACAAUAAUGAAAGACAGAAACACACAGAGACAAUUCCAUGUGACAACAGUGAAAGAGACCAGAGUGAUGCAGCUGCAAAUCAAACAACUGCCAACACCAGUGAUUGAUGGCCACCACCAGAAUCUGGUUAAGACAAAGAAGGAUCCUCCCCUUGAGGCGUCAGAAAGAACAUGGCCCUCUCAACACUUUGAGUUUGAACUUCUGGCCUCUAGAGCUGUGAUAAAAUAAAUUUCUGUUCUUUUAAGCUAACAAGUUUGUGGUAUCUUGUUAUGGUAGCCCUAGAGAUGACAGUAUUUGAUUCCUGAGCUGGCAACUGUAUUUUGACUAUGUAAUGACUAUUCCAAGAUAAUCAACAGACACAAAGAUAAAGGCAAAACUGAGACUAA